ensembl:snRNA U6 U6 spliceosomal RNA
GUGCUCGCUUCGGCAGCACAUAUACUAAAAUUGGAACCAUACAGAGAAGAUUAGCAUGGCCCCUGUUAAAGGA